AGAAUCAACGCUGGCGGCGUGCCUAACACAUGCAAGUCGCACGAGAAAGGGUAGCAAUACCUGAGUAAAGUGGCGCACGGGUGAGUAACACGUGAAUUAUCUACCUCCGAGUGGGGAAUAACUGAGAGAAAUCUUAGCUAAUACCGCAUAACACUUACGAGUCAAAGCAGCAAUGCGCUUGGAGAGGAGUUCGCGGCCGAUUAGUUAGUUGGCGGGGUAAUGGCCCACCAAGACGAUGAUCGGUAUCCGGCCUGAGAGGGCGCACGGACACACUGGAACUGAAACACGGUCCAGACUCCUACGGGAGGCAGCAGUGGGGAAUUUUGCGCAAUGGGGGAAACCCUGACGCAGCAACGCCGCGUGGAGGAUGAAAUAUCUUGGUAUGUAAACUCCUUUCGAUGGGGAAGAUUAUGACGGUACCAUAGAAGAAGCCCGGCUAACUUCGCGCCAGCAGCCGC
rnacentral:rRNA from 1 species